AAUUUCGGGUAAUUGCGGUCUAGCUUGACUAGACUGAGGAAAGUCCAUGCUCGCACAAGCUGCGAUGCUUGUAGUGUUCGUGCCUGGCGAAAUCAUAAGCCAGGGCCUUUAUCUUUUGAUAAAGUGACGGCAGAAAAAAAAGCUAAGGUUUAAUACUAUGCUUGAGUAUUCUUGAAAGUGCCACAGUGACGAAGCAAUACGGGAAACGGUAUUGGUGGAACGCGGUAAACCCCUCGAGCGAGCAACCCAAACUUUGGUAGGGGCACUUUUCCUAGGGAAUUGAACCGAUGGAAGAGGCAGUAAUUGCAGACAGAUAAUUACCUCCGGAUAAAAGUGACCCUGACAUUUUAUCUGAGACAGAACAUGGCUUACAGAA
rnacentral:RNase_P_RNA from 3 species